UACGUAGGGUGCAGGCGUUAAUCGGAAUUACUGGGCGUAAAGCGUGCGCAGGCGGUGAUGUAAGACAGGUGUGAAAUCCCCGGGCUUAACCUGGGAACUGCAUUUGUGACUGCAUCGCUGGAGUGCGGCAGAGGGGGAUGGAAUUCCGCGUGUAGCAGUGAAAUGCGUAGAUAUGCGGAGGAACACCGAUGGCGAAGGCAAUCCCCUGGACCUGUACUGACGCUCAUGCACGAAAGCGUGGGGAGCAAACAGG
rnacentral:rRNA from 1 species